UCGCAAUGAGACGGGCCCGCGUCGGAUUAGCUAGUUGGUGGGGUAACGGCCUACCAAGGCGACGAUCCGUAGCUGAUCUGAGAGGAUGAUCAGCCACACUGGGACUGAGACACGGCCCAG
rnacentral:rRNA from 1 species